rnacentral:rRNA from 1 species
AAACUUAGCAUAUCACUAAGCGGAGGAAAAGAAACUAACUAGGAUUCCCCCAGUAACUGCGAGUGAAGAGGGAAGAGCUCAUCAUUGGAAUCUGGCAGUGUUGCACUGUCCGAGUUGUAGAUGAGGAGUAGCCCAUCUGGACUGCAUGGCGUCCAAGUACAAUAGGCCGUCAGUGGGACAUCAUAGAGGGUGACAAUCCCGUCCUUGAUGCCAAUGUGCAAGUCCGUCUACGAUGGCUAUCUCAGAGAGUCGAGCAGUUUGGGAUUUGCUGCUUAAACAUGGGAGGUAGAUUCCUUCUAAAGCUAAAUACAGGCGAGAGACCGAUAGAGAACAAGUACCGCAAGGGAAAGAUGAAAUAGAACUCUGUGAAGGGAGUCAAAAGGCGUGAAAUUGUUGCGAGAGAAGCGAUUCAAGUCAGCGUAGCUAGGCCCAUCAAGCCUCUUUGCUUUGGACUAGCUUUGCCAGCGGUCUUGUCCUUGGAGACUUGACUUUGUAUUAACAUGUCCAGCCUGGUAUGCACAGGUAGCCCCCCGGGGCCAGUUGGCAUGGCUGGUGGAAUGGCUUGCAAUCGACCCGUCUUGAAACACGGACCAAGGAGUCUAACAUGUAUGCGAGUAUAAGGGUGGCAAACCCGUAUGCGCAAUGAAAGUGAUUUUCGGCGAUUAUGAAUGGCCUGAUGACCAGACAAGCAAUAUAUGUCCCUCGUACGGCCAUUGCCCAAGUUCCGUGGUAGAUCCCAUGAACAUGGAGUUGGAGCAUACAUGCUAGGACCCGAAAGAUGGUGAACUAUGCCUGGACAAAGCGAAGCCAAAGGAAACUCUGGUGGAGGCUUGUAGCGAUUCUGACGUGCAAAUCGAUCGUCUGAUCUGGGUAUAGGGGCGAAAGACUAAUCGAACCAUCUCAUAGCUGG